UACAGAGGGUGCAAGCGUUAAUCGGAAUUACUGGGCGUAAAGCGCGUGUAGGCGGUCGGGCAAGUCGGAUGUGAAAGCCCAGGGCUCAACCCUGGAAGUGCACUCGAUACUGCUCGGCUAGAGUCCCGGAGAGGAUGGUGGAACUCUCGGUGUAGAGGUGAAAUUCGUAGAUAUCGAGAAGAACACCGGUGGCGAAGGCGGCCAUCUGGACGGUGACUGACGCUGAGACGCGAAAGCGUGGGGAGCAAACAGG
rnacentral:rRNA from 1 species